GAUGAACGCUGGCGGCGUGCCUAAUACAUGCAAGUCGAGCGAACAGACGAGGAGCUUGCUCCUCUGACGUUAGCGGCGGACGGGUGAGUAACACGUGGAUAACCUACCUAUAAGACUGGGAUAACUUCGGGAAACCGGAGCUAAUACCGGAUAAUAUAUUGAACCGCAUGGUUCAAUAGUGAAAGACGGUUUUGCUGUCACUUAUAGAUGGAUCCGCGCCGCAUUAGCUAGUUGGUAAGGUAACGGCUUACCAAGGCAACGAUGCGUAGCCGACCUGAGAGGGUGAUAGGCCACACGGGAACUGAGACACGGUCCAGACUCCUACGGGAGGCAGCAGUAGGGAAUCGUCCGCAAUGGGCGAAAGCCUGACGGAGCAACGCCGCGUGAGUGAUGAAGGUCUUCGGAUCGUAAAACUCUGUUAUUAGGGAAGAACAAAUGUGUAAGUAACUAUGCACGUCGUGACGGUACCUAAUCAGAAAGCCACGGCUAACUACGUG
rnacentral:rRNA from 1 species